rnacentral:rRNA from 1 species
CCUACGGGUGGCAGCAGUGAGGAAUAUUGGUCAAUGGACGAAAGUCUGAACCAGCCAAGUCGCGUGAGGGAUGACUGCCCUCUGGGUUGUAAACUUCUUUUAUAAAGGAAUAAAACGAGGCACGUGUGCCUUUUUGCAUGUACUUUACGAAUAAGGAUCGGCUAACUCCGUGCCAGCAGCCGCGGUAAUACGGAGGAUCCGAGCGUUAUCCGGAUUUAUUGGGUUUAAAGGGAACGUAGAUGGGUUGUUAAGUCAGUUGUGAAAGUUUGCGGCUCAAACGUAAAAUUGCAAUUGAUACUGGCAGUCUUGAGUACAGUUGAGGUAGGCGGAAUUCGUGGUGUAGCGGUGAAAGGCUUAGAUAUCACGAAGAACCCCGAUUGCGAAGGCAGCUUACUAAACUGUGACUGACAUUGAUGCUCGAAAGUGUGGGUAUCAAACAGGAUUAGAUACCCCAGUAGUC